GCGCCAGUAGCUCAGCUGGAUAGAGUACCUGGCUACGAACCAGGUGGUCGUGGGUUCGACUCCUGCCUGGCGCGCCA
rnacentral:tRNA from 1 species